ensembl:lncRNA
AAAAGAAAGAAGAAAAAAAAAAGGACAGAAGGGGGAAACAACUUGUUGAGGCCUACUUGACAGGAGUUGAGAAUCAAGAAUCGGCGUCUUAAUGGGUGAACUAAUCACAUCCACAGCUAAGCCAUCUGUUCAGAUAAGAAAAGAAAGACUACUGAGAGUUUCUGCAAGCGUCUGUGCUCAAGCUUCUGAAUAAGUCUGUGUUUAUGUGUGUUCAUUAAAAGGGCGAGGAAAUACAGAUGCAAAAUAAAAACAAGAGAAGUACAGAGACAGAACAACAGGACGAGCUCUCGUUAGGUAAAGUGAGAGGCUGCAGGGGGAAGGGCCUGAUGCGGAGUGGCGAAUGAGCUCGGCGGUCGUGUGAGGUUGGCACAGUGCCAUCCACUCAGCGCUGGCGCUAGCGAGCGAGUGUAGGCACGCGGGCAUCAGUGAGAGGAAGGGAGGAGAGACAGAAAGAGAAAGAGUCGUCAACCAGCUGCCAUCACUAACAGAGAAGUGAUUUGUGAGGUUGAAUGAUGGAAGGAAGUUGGGAAAAGUUCAAGAUGGUUCCGGAUUUCAUCCGACACUAAACAACAUCGUAAGUGACAUUGCCAGAUUGCUUCAGAAUAAGUACUAGGAAGAUGUUUCCAUCUCCAUCUAUCAUUUCGUCUCUCCUCACAUGGUCUGCGUGCCAUCACGGUUCCUCGCCGCAACACGCUAACACAUAUCUCUGGCGCGUGGCGUGGUUGCAUCCGUAGGUAUUUCUCUGCGCAUCUUUGUGUUGGCACCUCGCAUUAGCACUUGCUAAUGUUCGGCGGUGUGCCAGGAUCUCCGCUGUGCCGUCUGGUGCUAGAAUCAUGGCAUCGUUUCAAGAAUGGCACGGUGCCAGCGUGUCUCCGCAGCGAUGGCUCCUGACACGAGUCGCUUGGCAAAGACAAAGAGCCCGAGGGACAAGAAACAGAAAACAAAAGAGCGACAAACACUCUGAUCCGACAGCUUAAUUAACACCGGUGGAGUUUGUUGGGUUAAUUAGGGUGACAGAUUUGGUCGUGAUGGAGGAAUGUGGCAGCAACGAGUGGGAGAAUAAAAACGAUGGGCGGGUACGGAUCAGUGAAGGAAUUCCGCCCGAAUGCCAGGACUUCGAGUCGAGCGAUGCCCUUGGCAGUCUUGUGCCAACGCUGUAUAGUGCAUAUUCGAUAGAGGGAUAACGCUGCAUCAUUGGCAGCUCUGUUAUGAUGCUGGUUUAUGGAAUAUGGGAACAGUUUAAAAAUGGGGGAGGAGACAAAAGCAACUGGGAGGAGAACCAGGAAGGCCUUGGAUUUAUUACACAGCAGUGAUUCAGCAAAAAUGGAGCCAUCAUGUUUGAAUGACUGCACUAUAUAUAUAUAUAUAUUUUUUAAUAAUGGAUUGUGGAUGGACUUCUGUGGUAGAACAUACAAAUGAUUAUCAAGAAAUGUCCAGGAUGGACAGCAUGGAGGAUCUGGACUCAUUAAUCCCUUCAGGAGAGUUACUUUGGGACAUCUAAGAAGUUCUCAGGGUGUUCAUCAUGGAUAAAGCCUCGAACGUACUUUGUGAAACCAGACGUCUUUGACCACCUGAUGAACUUGUGCUUAGGGACACAAUGUGAACUCUGAGAUCCUCUGAGAUCCUCAAUCUGGAUGUUUGUCAUGGUUUUGGCAUAUGAAUAAUGCACAUUUCUUCCUCUCCGCCUAUCUCUCCAUCCUUCUCUCAUCUCUGUACUCUCAAAAGGGAGGGAGUUCCAGACAUUUAGGCUUCAUGUCAGGAUGUUGCAUUGGCAUCACCUUCUCACGUCCAUGGUUUGAGGGCAACGGCUGUCAGAGGCGAACAAUUUAUUUUGGGAUUUGCAUUGUUUGUCUACGAGAUCCUGCUCGAGGCGACUCGAAAAACAGACAUUAACAACCUGGCGAAAUUAGCGAACUCGUUCGUCACGCCUGAAAUGUCUUUUCUUUUCUUUUUUUUUCUAGGUAAAGCGUUCGAGCAGGAUUUAAGCGUGGAUAUGCUAAUCUUGUCGCAUUAAUGAGGUCCGGAUCAUCAGUGUUCUCGUCUCAGCUCGGUUGGGGAUCUUAAUUUCUCCUCAUCUUCAUUAUGCAAAUGGAUUUAAACAGGGAAAAAAUGGACCAACAAAAAAAAAGGGAAGGCUGCAGUCAAAAGAGAGACAAGAGAUCGUUUAGGGAGAGAUGAAAAUGGUGCUCAGAAUGGUGGUUUUUAUGCUCUGACUUGAAGCACAGGCGAAUUUUUCUCGUCUAUUCAGGAGUCCCAACAUGGAUGGAGAAUAAAUCCAGAGGAUAUUGUACUCUCUUAUCCCUCAUCCCACCGCACCCCACCCCAUCCCACCCUGGAUACGACUGUUGCACCAGUUGUGUGAUAAAGAGACAGAACAGAAGAUGGAAUUAACCAAAUUAAAAGGAGGGAGAGAAUGGUUAAUAUCCUGUGCUUAAUCAUCGCACAUGAGAUUGGCUGUAUGCAUGUCUCAUUUGCAUCUCAUUAAACUGCACCUGCUGAAAGGGGGAGGAGAGUGAAGCUGCUUUGUAAUAGAAAUAAGGCAGCUCUUAUGGAGAUAUCAGUUGUAACUAAAAUGCAUCAUCUAAAUUCAUCUAAACUGUGCUUCUUUUUUUCUUUUUUUGUCCAUGCCAAAUCAAUUUUAGGAUCUUUAUAUUUGUUCGGGAUUCAGAUUAUUGUUGGUUUUUUGUUUUGUUUUGUUUUGUUUUUUGUUGUAAGCUCUUAAACCUGUGCCAUGAGACGUCUAUUCUGUAUAUGCUUAUGCUUAUGCUUAUGUAAAGGAAAAGAAUGAUUUUGCCUUCCACAAAGAACAAAGAAACCAAAUAAGUUGCCUGUAAUCAUAUCAAGGUAUGAUAAUUCCACAUGAAAUUUUAUGUUAAGGAGAUGUAAAACCCCUGAUGUGUGGUUUGUGGCCACUGCUUUAAUGUAUGCGUGAUUAGUAUGCAGCUCAGUGCGUUCUUUAAUAGAAGUCCGGGUGAACACUAUUGUCUCUAAUACUAAAAUGUGCCAUCUGCCUGGCUGCUGAGGCUGGCCUUUCUCUUUUGUGAUGAACACAAUGGGCUAUUCUGCAACUGGACGUCCACACAUAACUAAAAUAAAUCAUGCCUCGCUCUGCAGGCCUGAAACAACCAGUGCAAGGAAGGGGAUCUCUGAUAAAGCAUGGGACUCAUGUAAAUAAUACUGAUGGUGAUAAUAAAAAAGGAAUACGAAUCCUUGUCUUGUAGUUAUUAUUAUUCCAAAAAAACAAACCAAAAGAAAUGCGUCUUGUUUUAAAAUGCAUGCAUGCACGUCUUCAAACCUCACGUCUAAAACAAAGGAAUGACCAAGCAGCAGUUGUGACCUUAAUGUAAUUACGCCCUGACGGAUGUAUUUAAAUGUGUGUGUAAACAAUGAGCUGGGAGAAGUGUGUGUAUGAUAGAAACGUCUGCAUCGAUUACCCGCUAUGAAUGUGAGAUGUUUAAUCUCGUUAAAAAAUCUCAUGCCUAAAUUAGACUCCCUCAGCAGCUUUUUAAAUUGGGCUAUCCAUCAUGCAUAAUGAAGAAGUGACAGUACGUGCAUGUGUAUAUGAGAUGGAAAGG